AAUGGGCGAAAGCCUGACGCAGCCACGCCGCGUGCCGGAUGAAGGCCUAUGGGUUGUAAACGGCUUUUACUAGGGAAGAAGAGAGGGUUUCGAUCUUCUGUGACGGUACCUAGUGAAUAAGCACCGGCUAACUCCGUGCCAGCAGCCGCGGUAAUACGGAGGGUGCAAGCGUUGUCCGGAAUCAUUGGGUGUAAAGGGUACGUAGGCGGGAGCCUAAGUCUGGGGUGAAAUCUUGCCGCUUAACGGUAAAAUGGCCCUGGAUACUGGGUUUCUUGAGUGCAGAAGAGGCAGGUGGAAUUCGCGGUGUAGCGGUGAAAUGCUUAGAUAUCACGAAGAACAUCAGUGGCGAAGGCGGCCUGCUGGUCUGCAACUGACGCUGAGGUACGAAAGCGUGGGGAGCGAACAGGAUU
rnacentral:rRNA from 1 species